rnacentral:rRNA from 1 species
AGAGUUUGAUCCUGGCUCAGGAUGAACGCUAGCGGCAGGCCUAACACAUGCAAGUCGAGGGGCAUCACGAGGUAGCAAUACUUUGGUGGCGACCGGCGCACGGGUGCGUAACGCGUAUGUAACCUACCUAUAACAGGGGCAUAACACUGAGAAAUUGGUACUAAUUCCCCAUAAUAUUCGGAGAGGCAUCUCUCCGGGUUGAAAACUCCGGUGGUUAUAGAUGGACAUGCGUUGUAUUAGCUAGUUGGUGAGGUAACGGCUCACCAAGGCAACGAUACAUAGGGGGACUGAGAGGUUAACCCCCCACACUGGUACUGAGACACGGACCAGACUCCUACGGGAGGCAGCAGUGAGGAAUAUUGGUCAAUGGACGCAAGUCUGAACCAGCCAUGCCGCGUGCAGGAAGACGGCUCUAUGAGUUGUAAACUGCUUUUGUACGAGGGUAAACGCAGAUACGUGUAUCUGUCUGAAAGUAUCGUACGAAUAAGGAUCGGCUAACUCCGUGCCAGCAGCCGCGGUAAUACGGAGGAUUCAAGCGUUAUCCGGAUUUAUUGGGUUUAAAGGGUGCGUAGGCGGUUUGAUAAGUUAGAGGUGAAAUUUCGGGGCUCAACCCUGAACGUGCCUCUAAUACUGUUGAACUAGAGAGUAGUUGCGGUAGGCGGAAUGUAUGGUGUAGCGGUGAAAUGCUUAGAGAUCAUACAGAACACCGAUUGCGAAGGCAGCUUACCAAACUAUAUCUGACGUUGAGGCACGAAAGCGUGGGGAGCAAACAGGAUUAGAUACCCUGGUAGUCCACGCAGUAAACGAUGAUAACUCGUUGUCGGCGAUACACAGUCGGUGACUAAGCGAAAGCGAUAAGUUAUCCACCUGGGGAGUACGUUCGCAAGAAUGAAACUCAAAGGAAUUGACGGGGGCCCGCACAAGCGGAGGAACAUGUG